GUCAGGCUUCUAAAUCUACCAUUAGCAGAUGGAUUGUUUCAGCCAUCAUCUAAGCUUAUCAGGCUUCGAAAGCUCCAGUCCCGCAUGGACUCAAAGCUCAUUCCACGAGAUCCCUUUCCUCCUCUUGGGCCUCCUCUGCCAAGGUCUCUCCUGAGCUGAUUUGUAGAGCUGCCACCUGCGUCCUAUGCCAAUACUUUCAUCAGACAUUACCAAGUAGAUGUCAG